AUGGUGCAAUUCAGAGGUGUUGCCGUUGCUAGGAUCACAAUACUUUCAGGCCGCCUGUGAGUGCUUUCAGAUGGGGGAGGGGCCCACGGCUGCACCCGCUGCUCGUUGAGAAGAGUAAGAACAAGUCUCCAAUAACACCACAAAAAGUCGCAUGAUUUGUCGCUAGUCGCUUUUUUGAAAAAAAGUCACUAAGGAGGUCUGAAAAGUCACUAUAUCUAGCGACAUAGUCGCAAAGUUGGCAACACUGAAUCUAGAAUGAGAGAGCAGACUCUGCUGGGUAACUCAUACUUCUGUUUCGUCAAUUCCAUUUCAGUCUUAUCUAGAACCCAAGCAGAUGACAGUGCUCCAGCAGGGGACCCCAAACUUCCCUUUCCCGAGCCACAUUUGCCAGCUCUGACUGGGGGAUCCCGAGGCAUUCCCAGCCCAGUGUCGAAAUAUAAUCUCUCCACCUAGUCCUGGGCCUACCCCGAGGUCUCCUCCCAGCUGGACGUGCCUGGAACACCUCCCUAGGGAGACGUCCUGCGGGCAUCCUUACCAGAUGCCCGAACCACCUCAACUAGCUCCUUUCGACGCAAAGGAGCAGCGGCUCUACUCCGAGUUCCUCACGGAUGGCUGAGCUUCUCAUCCUCUCCCUAAGGGAGAAGCCAGCCACCCUUCUGAGAAAACCCAUUUCAGCUUGUACUCGCAAUCUUGUUCUUCCGGUCAUGACCCAGCCUUCAUGACCAUAUGUAAGGGUAGGAAAGAAAAUUGACCGGUAUAUUGAGAGCUUUGCCUUCUGGUUUAGCUCUCUUUUCAUCACAACGGUGCGGUAAAGCGAAUGCAAUACCGCCCCCGCUGCUACGAUUCUCCGGCCAAUCUCCCGCUCCAUUGUCCCCUCACUUGCGAACAAGACCCCGAGAUACUUGAACUCCUUUACUUGGGGUAACGCCUCAUUCCCUACCCGGAGGAGGCACUCCAUCGGUUUCUUGCUGAGAACCAUGGCCUCUGAAUUAGAGGUGCUAAUCCUCAUCCCAACUGCUUCACACUCGGCUGCGAACCGGUCCAGUGAGUGCUGAAGGUCACAGACCGUUGAUGCCAUCAGGACCACAUCAUCCGCAAAAAGCAGUGAUGAGAUCCCCAGCCCACUGAACUGCAACCCCUCCCCACCCCGACUACGCCUCGAUAUCCUGUCCAUAAAAGUUACAAACAGGAUUGGUGACAAAGCGCAGCCCUGGCGGAGGCCAACCCCCACCUGGAACGAGUCCGACUUACUACCGAGAACCCGAACACAGCUCUCACUUUGGACGUACGGGGAUCGGAUAAAUAUAAACACGCUCAUUCUAAUCAUUCUCCUUCUGUUCUUGAUUUAGGUGUGGUGAACCUCAAUACAAUGCCUGGACUGUAAGGGGGAUAAAGUGUCCCAUUUGAAAUUUUUAUUAGCAGAGAGUGCUUUUUUAUAGAUUUUGUGGGAUACUCCAGUAAAGGGAAGCUUGGAGUUCUCAGAGGAUUUUUAACGGACCCUGAUUUCCUGGACAGUACCCAGAAUGUAAAUUUGAGGGCAGGAGAUUGUAUAUUAGGCUUUUUUAUCCUUUAUUUAUAUAAGUUGUCUCAUUGAGAUAAAAUCUCAUUAAUG
ensembl:lncRNA